AGUGAACGCUGGCGGUAGGCCUAACACAUGCAAGUCGAACGGCAGCACAGAGGAGCUUGCUCCUUGGGUGGCGAGUGGCGGACGGGUGAGGAAUACAUCGGAAUCUACUCUGUCGUGGGGGAUAACGUAUGGAAACUUACGCUAAUACCGCAUACGACCUACGGGUGAAAGCAGGGGAUCUUCGGACCUUGCGCGAUUGAAUGAGCCGGUGUCGGAUUAGCUAGUUGGCGGGGUAAAGGCCCACCAAGGCGACGAUCCGUAGCUGGUCUGAGAGGAUAAACAGCCAACGUGGAACUGAGACUGGGUCAAGACCCCGACGGGAGGCAGCGGUGGGGAGUAUUGCACAAGGGGCGCAAGCCUGUUCCAGCCAUACCGCGUGGGUGAAGAAGGCCUUCGGGUUGUAAAGCCCUUUUGUUUGGAAAGAAAUCCAUCUGGUUAAUACCCGGGUGGGAUGGCGGUACCCAAAGAAUAAGCACCGGCUAACUUCGUGCCAGCAGCCGCAGUAA
rnacentral:rRNA from 1 species